GAUCAGGACUGAACACAGACGAGUCACCAUGGAGUUUGGACUGAGCUGGGUUUUCCUUUUUGCUAUAUUAAAAGGUGUCCAGUGUGAGGUGCAGCUGGUGGAGUCCGGGGGAGGCUUGGUGAAGCCUGCGGGGUCUCUGAGACUCACCUGUAUCGCCUCUGGAUUCACCUUUGGUCACUACGGCAUGCACUGGGUCCGCCAGGCUCCAGGGAAGGGGCUGGAGUGGAUCUCAGCCAUUAGCUGGAGUGGUGGUAGCAUAUACUAUGCAGACUCCGUGAAGGGCCGAUUCACCAUCUCCAGGGAAAACGCCAAGAACACACUGUAUCUGCAAACUGACAAUCUGAGAGCUGAGGACAUGGCCAUGUAUUACUGUGCCAGAGACACAGCAAGGGGACGUCAGUGGGAGCCCAGUUAG